UACGUAGGGGGCAAGCGUUGUCCGGAUUUAUUGGGCGUAAAGAGCGUGUAGGCGGCUUUACAGGUCCGUUGUGAAAACUCGAGGCUCAACCUCGAGACGCCGGUGGAAACCGUAAAGCUAGAGUCCGGAAGAGGAGAGUGGAAUUCCUGGUGUAGCGGUGAAAUGCGCAGAUAUCAGGAAGAACACCAAUGGCGAAGGCAGCUCUCUGGGACGGUACUGACGCUGAAGACGCGAAAGCGUGGGGAGC
rnacentral:rRNA from 1 species